rnacentral:rRNA from 1 species
CUUGACUGUAGCCUGGAAUUGGGUUCGGGCUUUUCUUGCGCAGACUAGGUGGGAGGCUAUGAAGAUUUCCUUCCGGGGAAGUUGGAGCCAACAGUGAGAGACCACUCUGGAAAGGCUAGAAUCCUCAUGGUGAUCCUUGAAUCAGGACACUUGACAGUUUCAGGCGGGCAGUUUUUCUGGGGCGGAAACCUCAUAAAAGGUAACUGAGGUGCGCAAAGGUUCCCUCAGUCUGGACGGAAAUCAGACAUUGAGUGUAAAGGCAAAAGGGAGCUUGACUGCAAGACCCACAAGUCGAGCAGGAGCGAAAGUCGGCCUUAGUGAUCCGACGGUUCCAUGUGGAAGGGCCGUCGCUCAACGGAUAAAAGUUA